rnacentral:rRNA from 1 species
CCUACGGGUGGCAGCAGUGAGGAAUAUUGGUCAAUGGACGAGAGUCUGAACCAGCCAAGUCGCGUGAAGGAUGACUGCCCUAUGGGUUGUAAACUUCUUUUAUAUGGGAAUAAAAUGUUCCACGUGUGGGCUUUUGUAUGUACCAUAUGAAUAAGGAUCGGCUAACUCCGUGCCAGCAGCCGCGGUAAUACAGAGGAUCCGAGCGUUAUCCGGAUUUAUUGGGGUUAAAGGGAGCGUAGGUGGAUUGUUAAGUCAGUUGUGAAAGUUUGGGGCUCAACCGUAAAAUUGCAGUUGAAACUGGCAGGCUUGAGUACAGUAGAGGGGGGCGGAAUUCGGGGUGUAGCGGUGAAAUGCUUAGAUAUCGCGAAGAACUCCGAGUGCGAAGGCAGCUCACUGGACUGCAACUGACACUGAGGCUCGAAAGUGUGGGUAUCAAACAGGAUUAGAUACCCCAGUAGUC